CUAUGGAGUCUACACAUGCAGUCGAGCGGUAACAGAGAGAAGCUUGCUUCUCUGCUGACGAGCGGCGGACGGGUGAGUAAUGCCUGGGAAAUUGCCCUGAUGUGGGGGAUAACCAUUGGAAACGAUGGCUAAUACCGCAUGAUGCCCUUGCUUAUAAUGAGCGGGGGCCAAAGAGGGGGACCUUCGGGCCUCUCGCGUCAGGAUAUGCCCAGGUGGGAUUAGCUAGUUGGUGAGGUAAGGGCUCACCAAGGCGACGAUCCCUAGCUGGUCUGAGAGGAUGAUCAGCCACACUGGAACUGAGACACGGUCCAGACUCCUACGGGAGGCAGCAGUGGGGAAUAUUGCACAAUGGGCGCAAGCCUGAUGCAGCCAUGCCGCGUGUAUGAAGAAGGCCUUCGGGUUGUAAAGUACUUUCAGUCGUGAGGAAGGGGGUAUCGUUAAUAGCGGUAUGCUUUGACGUUAGCGACAGAAGAAGCACCGGCUAACUCCGUGCCAGCAGCCGCGGUAAUACGGAGGGUGCGAGCGUUAAUCGGAAUUACUGGGCGUAAAGCGCAUGCAGGUGGUUUGUUAAGUCAGAUGUGAAAGCCCGGGGCUCAACCUCGGAGUUGCAUUUGAAACUGGCAGGCUAGAGUACUGUAGAGGGGGGUAGAAUUUCAGGUGUAGCGGUGAAAUGCGUAGAGAUCUGAAGGAAUACCAGUGGCGAAGGCGGCCCCCUGGACAGAUACUGACACUCAGAUGCGAAAGCGUGGGGAGCAAACAGGAUUAGAUACCCUGGUAGUCCACGCCGUAAACGAUGUCUACUUGGAGGUUGUGGCCUUGAGCCGUGGCUUUCGGAGCUAACGCGUUAAGUAGACCGCCUGGGGAGUACGGUCGCAAGAUUAAAACUCAAAUGAAUUGACGGGGGCCCGCACAAGCGGUGGAGCAUGUGGUUUAAUUCGAUGCAACGCGAAGAACCUUACCUACUCUUGACAUCCAGAGAAGCCAGCGGAGACGCAGGUGUGCCUUCGGGAGCUCUGAAACAGGUGCUGCAUGGCUGUCGUCAGCUCGUGUUGUGAAAUGUUGGGGUUAAGUCCCGCAACGAGCGCAACCUUUAUCCUUGGUUUGCCAGCAAUUCCGGGGGGGAACUCCCGGGGAAACUGGCCGGUGAUAAACCCGGAAGAAAGGUGGGGGACAAACGUCCAA
rnacentral:rRNA from 1 species